rnacentral:rRNA from 1 species
GACGAACGCUGGCGGCGUGCCUAAUACAUGCAAGUAGAACGCUGAAGAGAGGAGCUUGCUCUUCUUGGAUGAGUUGCGAACGGGUGAGUAACGCGUAGGUAACCUGCCUGGUAGCGGGGGAUAACUAUUGGAAACGAUAGCUAAUACCGCAUAAAAUGGAUUAUCGCAUGAUAAUCCAUUGAAAGGUGCAAAUGCAUCACUACCAGAUGGACCUGCGUUGUAUUAGCUAGUUGGUGGGGUAACGGCUCACCAAGGCGACGAUACAUAGCCGACCUGAGAGGGUGAUCGGCCACACUGGGACUGACACACGGCCCAGACUCCUACGGGAGGCAGCAGUAGGGAAUCUUCGGCAAUGGACGGAAGUCUGACCGAGCAACGCCGCGUGAGUGAAGAAGGUUUUCGGAUCGUAAAGCUCUGUUGUAAGAGAAGAACGAGUGUGAGAGUGGAAAGUUCACACUGUGACGGUAUCUUACCAGAAAGGGACGGCUAACUACGUG